AGGAGCUGGAUGAGAAAAAACUCUCAUGUCCGGUUCUGCAGUAGAGAUGGGAUUAAAGCACUACCAUCAACUAUAAC
rfam:Amborella trichopoda chloroplast genomic DNA, complete sequence